UACAGAGGGGGCAAGCGUUGUUCGGAAUUACUGGGCGUAAAGGGCGCGUAGGCGGUCUUUUAAGUUCCGUGUGAAAUCCCUCGGCUCAACCGGGCGAGGCCAUUGGAAACUGACAGGCUGGAGGGCAGUAGAGGUAGGCGGAAUUCCGGGUGGAGUGGUGAAAUGCGUAGAGAUCCGGAGGAACCCCUGAGGCGAAGGCGGCGUCCUGGCGCACUUCUGACGUUCAGACACGACAGCAUGGGGAGCGAACGGG
rnacentral:rRNA from 1 species